rnacentral:rRNA from 1 species
UACGAAGGGGGCUAGCGUUGCUCGGAAUCACUGGGCGUAAAGGGUGCGUAGGCGGGUCUUUAAGUCAGGGGUGAAAUCCUGGAGCUCAACUCCAGAACUGCCUUUGAUACUGGUGAGCUUGAGUCCGGAAGAGGUGAGUGGAACUGCGAGUGUAGAGGUGAAAUUCGUAGAUAUUCGCAAGAACACCAGUGGCGAAAGGCGGCUCACUGGUCCGGUACUGACGCUGAGGUGCGAAAGCGUGGGGAGCAAACAG